AAAAAAUACAAAAACAGAAAGGGCUUUUGUGAGUUGGUGGCCAAAAAAAUUCAGAAAUUUAUUCAAGAUUACAUAUUGGGGAAAAGGAAAAUUGAUUCUUGAAGUUGAAAUUUUUUAGUUUGAAGAUUAGUUGUACGAAAUGAGCUCAGAUCUGAUAGCUAACACACAUGGUAACCUGGAUGAGCAGAUUUCUCAGCUUAUGCAGUGCAAGCCUCUAUCUGAGCCUGAGGUUAGAGCAUUAUGUGAGAAGGCUAAGGAGAUCCUAAUGGAAGAAAGUAAUGUUCAGCCAGUAAAAAGCCCUGUAACUAUAUGUGGUGAUAUUCAUGGGCAGUUCCAUGAUCUUGCUGAACUUUUUAGGAUUGGUGGACAGUGUCCAGAUACAAAUUAUCUGUUUAUGGGUGAUUACGUUGACCGUGGAUAUUAUUCGGUUGAAACAGUUACGCUAUUGGUAGCUCUGAAAGUGCGUUAUCCUCAACGACUAACAAUUCUUAGAGGAAAUCAUGAAAGCCGACAGAUCACACAAGUCUAUGGGUUCUAUGAUGAAUGCUUGCGGAAGUAUGGCAAUGCUAAUGUUUGGAAAACAUUUACUGAUCUAUUUGAUUAUUUUCCUUUGACUGCAUUGGUUGAAUCCGAAAUUUUUUGUUUGCAUGGAGGACUGUCUCCGUCUAUUGAAACCCUUGAUAAUGUACGAAGUUUCGACCGUGUCCAAGAAGUUCCUCAUGAAGGGGCCAUGUGU
rnacentral:misc_RNA from 1 species